GCUAUACAUGCAGUCGAGCGAACUGAUUAGAAGCUUGCUUCUAUGACGUUAGCGGCGGACGGGUGAGUAACACGUGGGCAACCUGCCUGUAAGACUGGGAUAACUUCGGGAAACCGAAGCUAAUACCGGAUAGGAUCUUCUCCUUCAUGGGAGAUGAUUGAAAGAUGGUUUCGGCUAUCACUUACAGAUGGGCCCGCGGUGCAUUAGCUAGUUGGUGAGGUAACGGCUCACCAAGGCAACGAUGCAUAGCCGACCUGAGAGGGUGAUCGGCCACACUGGGACUGAGACACGGCCCAGACUCCUACGGGAGGCAGCAGUAGGGAAUCUUCCGCAAUGGACGAAAGUCUGACGGAGCAACGCCGCGUGAGUGAUGAAGGCUUUCGGGUCGUAAAACUCUGUUGUUAGGGAAGAACAAGUACGAGAGUAACUGCUCGUACCUUGACGGUACCUAACCAGAAAGCCACGGCUAACUACGUGCCAGCAGCCGCGGUAAUACGUAGGUGGCAAGCGUUAUCCGGAAUUAUUGGGCGUAAAGCGCGCGCAGGCGGUUUCUUAAGUCUGAUGUGAAAGCCCACGGCUCAACCGUGGAGGGUCAUUGGAAACUGGGGAACUUGAGUGCAGAAGAGAAAAGCGGAAUUCCACGUGUAGCGGUGAAAUGCGUAGAGAU
rnacentral:rRNA from 2 species